rnacentral:rRNA from 1 species
UACGUAGGGGGCUAGCGUUGUCCGGAAUCAUUGGGCGUAAAGAGCGUGUAGGCGGUCCGGUAAGUCCGUUGUGAAAGUCGAGGGCUCAACCCUCGAAUGCCGGCGGAUACUGUCGGACUAGAGUCCGGAAGAGGCGAGUGGAAUUCCUGGUGUAGCGGUGAAAUGCGCAGAUAUCAGGAGGAACACCGAUGGCGAAGGCAGCUCGCUGGGACGGUACUGACGCUGAGACGCGAAAGCGUGGGGAGCAAACAGG